rnacentral:rRNA from 1 species
AUUGAACGCUGGCGGCAUGCUUUACACAUGCAAGUCGUGCGGGCAGCGCGAGGGCAACCUUGGCGGCGAGCGGCGAACGGGUGAGGAAUACAUCGGAACGUACCCCGGAGUGGGGGAUAACCCAGCGAAAGUUGGACUAAUACCGCAUAUGCUCUGAGGAGGAAAGCAGGGGACUUCGCAAGAGGCCUUGCGCUCUGGGAGCGGCCGAUGUCCGAUUAGCUAGNGGUGGGGUAAUGGCUCACCAAGGCGACGAUCGGUAGCUGGUCUGAGAGGAUGAUCAGCCACACUGGGACUGAGACACGGCCCAGACUCCUACGGGAGGCAGCAGUGGGAAUUUUGGACAAUGGGGCAACCCUGAUCCAGCCAUGCCGCGUGCGGGAAGAAGGCCU